rnacentral:lncRNA from 1 species
AUGAAGAUAUAUUUGUAGGCCGAGGAAGAAAGCCCAGUGGCAGCAGAGCUGAAAUGGAGAGAAACCUGCCGCUGGACUGCACAGCGCUCACUGCGCUGACCCAAAAUUAACUAGAAAAUAGCGCUAUUUCAGAAACUAGAGCGUGCCCCAAGUUUUGGUUGCAAUAGCGUGAGGCUGAUGGAGAUAUAUCCAUAGAUCAAGCAAGAAGGCCCAACGCCAAGUUGCAGAGAAUAGCUGAAAUGGACAUAAACCUGCCACGGGACUCCACAUUUCUCAUUCUGCUGACCCAAAUUUCACUAGUAGACAGCAGUAUUUCAGAAACUAGGGCGUACCUCUAGAAAAUGGGACAGAGUGGAACAAGUGUGUUCUGAUACAAUAUGCUCAUAAAAUGAUUGAUCAAAUAUGUGGAUUUAGCCCACUAUUAUAUUUGAUGGAUCAGACUCAACCAGGGGAGGAGAGUCGAC